CCUACGGGAGGCAGCAGUAGGGAAUCUUCCACAAUGGGCGCAAGCCUGAUGGAGCAACACCGCGUGAGUGAAGAAGGGUUUCGGCUCGUAAAGCUCUGUUGUUGGAGAAGAACGUGCGUGAGAGUAACUGUCCACUCAGUGGUGGUAUCCAACCAGAGAGUGACGGCUAACUACGGGCCAGCAGCCGCGGUAAGACGUAGGCGGCAAGCGUUCGCCGGUUUUAUUGGGCGGAAAGCGAGCGCAGGCGGGUGCGUAGGUCUGAUGUGAAAGCCCUCGGCUUAACCGAAGAAGUGCAUCGGAAACCGGGCGACUUGAGUGCAGAAGAGGACACUGGAACUCCAUGUGUAGCGGUGGAAUGCGUAGAUAUAUGGAAGAACACCAGUGGCGAAGGCGAGUGUCUGGUCUGCAACUGACGCUGAGGCUCGAAAGCAUGGGUAGCGAACAGGAUUAGAUACCCGAGUAGUC
rnacentral:rRNA from 1 species